GAAAUGCGAUAAGUAAUGUGAAUUGCAGAAUUCAGUGAAUCAUCGAAUCUUUGAACGCACCUUGCGCCCUUUGGUAUUCCGAAGGGCAUGCCUGAAACCUCACCCCUCCCGGGUUUUUUACCCGGUUGGUCUGGUGGAUUGGGCGCCUGCCGAUGUUAUACUGGCUCGCCUGAAAAGCAUAAGCGCCUUGGAUGUAAUACGUUUCAUCCUCUCGGGUGGCUGACGAACCCCACAUAUCUCAUGAUCUGGCCUCAAAUCAGGUAGGGCUACCCGCUGAACUUAAGC
rnacentral:misc_RNA from 1 species